rnacentral:rRNA from 1 species
GACGAACGCUGGCGGCGUGCUUAACACAUGCAAGUCGAACGGAAAGGCCCUGCUUUUGUGGGGUGCUCGAGUGGCGAACGGGUGAGUAACACGUGAGUAACCUGCCCUUGACUUUGGGAUAACUUCAGGAAACUGGGGCUAAUACCGGAUAGGAGCUCCUGCUGCAUGGUGGGGGUUGGAAAGUUUCGGCGGUUGGGGAUGGACUCGCGGCUUAUCAGCUUGUUGGUGGGGUAGUGGCUUACCAAGGCUUUGACGGGUAGCCGGCCUGAGAGGGUGACCGGCCACAUUGGGACUGAGAUACGGCCCAGACUCCUACGGGAGGCAGUAGGGGGGAAUACUGCACAAUGGGCGGAAGCCUGAUGCAGCAACGCCGCGUGCGGGAUGACGGCCUUCGGGGUGUAAACCGAUUUCGCCUGUGACGAAGCGUGAGUGACGGUAAUGGGUAAAGAAGCACCGGCUAACUACGUG